UGAAAACUUUCUGAGAUGACCCAAAGA
rnacentral:piRNA from 1 species